GACGAACGCUGGCGGCGUGCUUAACACAUGCAAGUCGAACGGUGAAGGGACCAGCUUGCUGGUUCUGGAUGAGUGGCGAACGGGUGAGUAACACGUGAGUAACCUGCCCCCUUCUUCUGGAUAACCGCAUGAAAGUGUGGCUAAUACGGGAUAUUCUGGGUCUGUCGCAUGGCGGGCCCGGGAAAGAUAUUGCUUCGGUGGGGGAUGGGCUCGCGGCCUAUCAGCUUGUUGGUGGGGUGAUGGCCUACCAAGGCGGUGACGGGUAGCCGGCCUGAGAGGGUGGACGGUCACACUGGGACUGAGACACGGCCCACACUGCUACGGGAGGGAGCAGUGGGGAAUAUUGCACACUGGGCGCAAGCCUGAUGCAGCGACGCCGCGUGAGGGAUGGAGGCCUUCGGGUUGUAAACCUCUUUGGCCAGUGAAGCAGGCCUGCUACUUGUGGGUGGGUUGACGGUAGCUGGAUAAGAAGCGCCGGCUAACUACGUG
rnacentral:rRNA from 1 species